rnacentral:rRNA from 1 species
GACGUAGGGCGCGAGCGUUGUCCGGAUUUAUUGGGCGUAAAGAGCUCGUAGGCGGUGUGUCGCGUCGGCCGUGAAAACCUGCAGCUUAACUGUGGGCUUGCGGUCGAUACGGGCAGGCUAGAGUUCGGUAGGGGAGACUGGAAUUCCUGGUGUAGCGGUGAAAUGCGCAGAUAUCAGGAGGAACACCGGUGGCGAAGGCGGGUCUCUGGGCCGAUACUGACGCUGAGGAGCGAAAGCGUGGGGAGCGAACAGG